rnacentral:lncRNA from 10 species
CUUAAAAUGUCAAAAUGAAAUAUUGUCUAUUAAAACAGAAGAAUUAAAAUAAACAAGAGAAGUUGGGCAUUGGUCAUCUGAUGGUUGUAACCUCCAGCUUUCCCAGGAAAUAUGAGAAGACAUGGAAAAAAAAAAACCUUAAAUGCCCAUCGCUAAGUGAAAGAAGCCGAUCUGAAAAGACUACAUACUGUUUCCACAGUCUGCAGAAUAUAAAAUAAAUGUCUUGAAUAAGCUACGAAGACCAAGGCACUUUUCGGAGCAGAUUUUUUUGUCUUAAAGUUUUAUCUCAUGCAAACACUGCGUAUAACACAAACUUAUAUAAUCAAUGCUUUUAGCAAAAUGUCAUAGUAGAACCAAGGCCCAGUUGUUAGCUGAAAUCUAUAUAAAUAUAGUAGCUGGACGUGGUGGUGCAUGCCUGUAGUUCCAGCUCAUUGGUAGGCUGAGACAGGAGAAUCGUUUUAACCCGGGAGGCCGAGGUUGCAGUGAACCUAGAUUGCACCACUGCACUGUAGCCUGGGUGACAGAGUGAGACUCCGUCCCAAGAGAGAAAAAAAGUGUUUGCGACCACUUGCAGGAGUAGGGCUGAUUGGAGCCAUUGUACAGUGUCGGGAACAUACCAGGACACUGAGAAUAGUGUCAUGUCAUAAGGACCCAGAGCAGAUGGACCCUGCUGUGAUGCACAAAGAGGACCACGCAAGAUAUGAUAAAGAUCUACAUCACUGAAUUUUGGUUCCAUUUUUGUAUCUCAGCUUCCAGGAAAUAAAAAAGAAUUCUAACAUUCAUACUUUCAGUAUUUUAUGUGAGAGGUUUUGUUGUCAAAAUCAAGUCUGAGAGCAAUGUUUGUUGGGGCCUUUAAUUGGAGUCACCAAGCGAUAAAGGGGACAUUGUCCUCAACAAUAACCCUAUAAUAAACACGUUUUGGACAAUAAAUAUAUGACAAUUUCUUAAAAGCAAUUUCUUGGGCAAUCAAGACAGUAUGGCUUGAGUAUGGAGUUAUACGAUGGUUUGGAUUAAUCCAGUAUUAAAUCUUUGGUUAUUACAGAAAUCAAUGGAGCCUAUUCUUCCAAAUAAUCCUUAAAUAUUACUUAUCUCAACUGAGAUUUUGGUGAAAAUUUAGCUUUAGAGCUUUUAUUGACCUGCCAAUGACCUGAAGUUAAGAUUAUUCUUUUCUACUGAAUGAAGACAAACUACCUUAUAAAAAUUAACCCAGA